UUGCCGUUUCGUUUUUUAUAUUGCAACUGAUAAAAGAAGUAUUUACACAAAAAAGCAAUCGAAAGACUGGUGGCUGACAGUUCGCUGCUCGUAAUAAUAUUUGAGUAAAUGUUCUGCUUGAAAGAGAGAGAGAGAGGGGGGGGGAGAGAGGGGAGGGAGAGACUUGGAAGCUUACAAUCUGGUUGUAUCAAGUGCAAUAGAUUAAACAAUAUCUCCGAACUUUGGAUUUUAUUCAGGGAUCUGUAUCUACUCUCAUAUCUUGUUCUGGAUACUUGAAAUACUCAAAUCAAUAUUGGUUUUGAUUGUAGAAGAACAGCGAACACAUGACAUUUUCAUGGCAUCUUCUAUAACUGACAGUAUCAGCAUCAUGUCCGGAUGAUGUGGAUCUUUCUUGAUUCCACGCGCGACGAUUGAAGAAUUAUCUUACCAAGCACAUAAGCGUCCUCAAGUCGGUCACAACUUUCAUCGCCAACUAUUUGGCUGCUUCGCCGUCCAAGUGUAUCCAACGAUGGUAAUCCAGAAGCAGCAUUGCAGUGAGAUACGUAGACAACCAAGUAUAGUCUACGAAUGUCAAGAACAGUGAUGGUAGAACAGCAGGAAGUCUAACAACCUUGAAGGAAAGUUUCUGAAGAAAUAAAAGCUUUACUACAGCUAAGGGUAACCUUUUAUGUCAUAAGUGUCAGUUAUUUCCGGCAUAUUCAAUUCUUUUAUUCAAAUGCUGCAUCCGAAGUUCGAUUUACUACAUCAAGCUAAUUUCGGAAUUCAAUUCGUUUUAAUCAGACUCAGUAUUUUAGUAUUACAUCCAUGAUUAAAACAGUUAUUUUUGCAAAUGACUAUUUUCUUUCGUCAUUGUUGUAUAUUUGAUAAAGAUAGAUAUAGUCGCGGAAGAGAUACACGAGCCAUAUUGUUAAUACUUUCGAAAACUAGAAUAAUGGUCGACUAAACCAGUAUAAGAUUUAUAAAGGUUAUCUCCAGAAUCCUCAUUUGCUUCUCGCAGGAUCCUUAUGCGGUCACGAGAACCUUUUUACUUCCACUUUCUUAUUCAGUUUUUCGCAGCAGUAGUCUGCCAUGUUAUGCAUAAAUCUUCUUUAUUAUUUUUCACUUGUAUCACUUAGGAAUAAACAGAUCAGAAGCAACAGAAAAGUGUGUUAACGAACUACUCUUUUGUGCAAUUUC